AAGGAAGCAUGUAUAGGGGGUACAUAUGGUGGCAGUUGUAUGCUCAGCAGAAGAAGCACCAGGGAGGUGAAGCUCCAAUGCCAACGGUCUUGAUCAUUGGACAAUGCCUAUAAUGACUGCAUGAAAAUGAACGUGGUUCUUCAUAUUUCUUAAAUUUGUUCUUUUGGUCUUGUCGUUUCAUAAAAAUUGUGUUACGAAUGGAAUGGUACAAAAUGGAGCUUCAAAUCAGGAUCUGUUUUGCUGUUGUACUGCCUUGCUAUAUACAAUUUAUUUUUCAGAGGUGGAAUCUUGGGUUUGUUUAAUGGAAGGUGUGAAGUCAGAGAAAUGAGAAUAGAAGUAGCUUUUCAUGGCUGUGUUUACUGAGGUCACGUUGACAGCAUGAACCUUCGAUGUGAUGUGAGGAAAAUGGCAUUCUACCUCUGUGUUCUUCCUCCCCAAAAUUUGUAACCACCAUCUAAUCAUGAGGAAAACAUCAUACAAGUCCAAAUUGAGGAAGAUUCUACAAAAUGCCUGAUUAAUAUUCAUCGAAACUGUCAAGGUCAUCAAAAGCAAGGAAAGUCUGAGAAACUGCCACAGCCUAAAGACAAUCCAGGGAAACGUGAUGACUCAGUGGUAUUCGGGGUGGGUUUCUGGAACAGCAAAAGGACAACAGGUAAAAUCUAAGAACAUACGAAUAAAGUGUGAACUUUAAUUAAUAA
rnacentral:lncRNA from 1 species